UUAUUUUUUUUGGCGAUUUUUUUGAACUUUUUUUUUCCUCUUUAGUUAAGACUUUCUAACCUCCUUAGUCCCUGCAAAAGAUGAGUCAGAAUCAGAAUGUUUUCUUUUUAUUCUGUGCGAAUACAGUUUAAAAAGCUUCACUACUUAA